rnacentral:rRNA from 1 species
AGCAGUAGCCGCGGGAAUACGAAGGGGGCUAGCGUUGUUCGGAAUUACUGGGCGUAAAGCGCACGUAGUCGGAUAUUUAAGUCAGGGGUGAAAUCCCGCAGCUCAACUGCGGAACUGCCUUUGAUACUGGGUAUCUUGAGUAUGGAAGAGGUUAGUGGAAUUGCGAGUGUAGAGGUGAAAUUCGUAGAUAUUCGCAGGAACACCAGUGGCGAAGGCGGCUAACUGGUCCAUAACUGACGCUGAGGUGCGAAAGCAUGGGGAGCAAACAGGAUUAGAGACCCCCGUAGUCCCUGUCUCUUAUAC